ensembl:lncRNA
UCUGCUGGACAGGGGUAGAAUUUCAAUACUCAAACUGCGCUGUGAGUCCCUUAUCGUACACUUGUGGACUAUUCUACGCCAUUUUGUAGUAUGAAUAGUGUAGUUCGCGUGUUCACACUGAAAACCCCCAAAAAACAAAGUGCGCUGUAAGUUCCGGAUGAUGCACUCAUUCAGACUAAGUGUGGAAUGAUGGACACUUCAUGCGCUCAACGGCCUCAGAUUUCCUUAUGUAGCGGAUGGAGAGAAGUUAUAUCAGGCUCAGCUGUUAACAUUGCCAGCAGCUGUAGCCACAACCAGGUCGCAAAGCCAUCUGCUUACUCAUCAUCUUUAGAAGCCACUUUUUGUUAUGUUUUUUUUGUACACAUUUUGAAUCGGGAGCCUAGAGCCUAUCCCAGGGAAGUCGGGGCACAAAGCAGGGAACACCUUGGACAAUGCCAAUCAGCUUACAAAGCAUGUCAUUGGACUGGGGGAGGAAACCGGAGUUUCUGGAGGAAACCGCUAAAACACGGGGAGAACAUGCAAACUCUGCACACACAGGACAAAGGCAGCAUUCGAACUCCUAACCCCAGCGGUGCAAGGCAAACAUGCCUACCACUAAGUCACCGUGUCCUCACUAUAUGAUAUUAACACCAGUUAAAGCAAGGGAGUACUGUUUUUUUUUAUCUGUACAGGUGGUAGUCCAGGACCAGGGCUGGGAGAGCCUGUGCUCUAGUCCAUAAGCUGUUGAGCUGAGUGAACUGAAAAGUUUUCUAACCAGCAGGCUCUACUAUUUGUUUAAAUACAUGAAAUAGGCAUGAGGACAAACCAAAGCCUUUGACAAACCUACUAAAAUAUGCAUGCUGAUUCCUGAAAUUUAAAGAGAAAUAUUUAAUCAACUAAUACUAGAGCUUAGUUUUGACAAAGAAAAAUCAAUAAUUAAACUGAGGAGUUAAACUAUACCUUAGCAGUCAAUGUGUUUUGGGGGAAGAGAAUGAUUUAAUCAGACCUGAACCAAGGUCACUGACUACAAUACUUAGACAUCUAAUUUCCAACGUGAGAUAACAUUGACACACUGUACUGCAGGACAGAAAGAACAAACUAACAGCUUUGCUUUAAUGAAAAGUAACAGAACAAUGUUCCGGGCAAACAGUGAUAACAUGUUUUAGUGUUUCAGAGCAAAAGCAAGUGAAGUAUUGACAUAUGUGGGCCAUGCUGCAUUCUGGA